rnacentral:piRNA from 2 species
UCCAAGGACAACAGCAAGCCAGAAGUGCCA